UGCCAGCCGCCGCGGUAAUACGGAGGGGGUUAGCGUUGUUCGGAAUUACUGGGCGUAAAGCGCACGUAGGCGGACUGGAAAGUCAGAGGUGAAAGCCCCGAGCUCAACUUGGGAACUGCCUUUGAUACUGUUUAUCUAGAGUCCGAGAGAGGUUAGUGGAAUUCCCAGUGUAGAGGUGAAAUUCGUAGAUAUCUGGAGGAACAUCAGUGGCGAAGGCGGCUCCCUGGCCAAAGACUGACGCUCAUGUGCGAAAGUGUGGGUAGCGAACAGGAUUAGAUA
rnacentral:rRNA from 1 species